GGGUGCAAGUCUCUUAUUAAUUUUUUUGAUAGUUAUUAUGGGGCGCCACCUUGAUUGGAUCAAGUUGGGCACGUCCUAUGAUUAGAAGGCCUUUUGAUUUUAUAUGGGGCAUCCCUUGGGUGCAAAAGAGGGUUUGUUUAAUUGGGUGCAAGGGCUCCAAGAGUUGGUGCCUAAUAAGAUUCCUAAUGUAAGUUAAAUAACUUAAGUUAUUAAGAAAUCUAAUGUAAGUAGGACUUGUAUUAUGAGAUUGAAUAAGAUUCAAUCCCCAUGCCUAUUUAAAGAGACCUCUCCUA
rnacentral:lncRNA from 1 species